rnacentral:lncRNA from 1 species
AAAAAAGCCGCAAGGCAUAAGAGGAAGGGUGAGAAAAAGUCGUAUAAAAAGCGAGAGAAAAUUUGACAGGGAUCAGUCGAGCGAGUAUCUCCGACACGGCAAAAGCUGCAUUCUUCGUCGUAAUAUCAGUUCGGUAUCAUGGUUAGUUAUGGUGUUGUGUUGCUGUUGGGUGUCGUAUCGUUGAUGUCGACCACGAGAGAAAAUCUUACUAAAGGAAAGAGAAAGGGCAACAGAAGUCAAUCGAGUGAGCAUCUCCGACCCGGCAACAUCUGCAUUCUUUCGUCGUAUCAUCAGGUCGCAAUUACGGGUAAAUAUUCUGUAUUUCUACGUGGAAUUUUGUAUAAAUUUCUAUUUUUUCUAUCUGAUAAUCUGUCCGCUAUUGUUGAAUAUUUCAUAUUGUCUGGUUAACUAUGCCGUCGUGGCGUCGUGCUGCUAUUGGAUGUUGUAUCGUCGAUGGCUGGGUCGACCACUGGUGUACCGAUGUCUCCUGGAUCUGCAACUGCAACGCCGCCGCCUUACUACACAACAAUAUACGCAACGACCAGUUACUACACCGAGGUUGCACAGUUUGGUUUACAGUUAAACCACCAAGGAUCCAGAUUAUUACACCACAACUAGUGUUGCUCCUCGAGCUACACUACCAAAGCGUUAGAAUACUACACCGAGGCUCCUAAGUACUACACCACCAACGCACCUGAGACUACGCAACUACGUAUGCUGCCCCAACCUACGACACCGAGGCUUCAGCUUAUUACACCACCAAAGCUGUCGAAUACUACACAGGAGCGCCCAAGUACGAUAGAAAUCAGUCGAGUGAGCUUCUCCGACACCCAACACGACAGCCCCGAAGUUUCGAAUAAACUUCGCUUUAAACAGUGGAACGGCAAACAGUGAAGAAUUCUACUGCAAUCGCGUCGAAUUGAAUAGCAAAGAUAACACAUUCGUACGUGUACACCGCGCCGUUAAACUUGACAUGGUUGGUCGGAAAGAAAAACUUAACGAUGGCGGUACCAUCACCUACGACAAGUGCGUUAUUGCCACAGGUGGUAAACGAAAAUCUUUUCCAAUCCCUGUGCGGUGCCCUUAAAGAUGCUCACGAGCACGUAACGCUGUUCCGCAACAUCGAUGGCGGUAACAUAGGCCGAGUUCUCCCUAAAUAUUUAAGCUAAUGGAUAACCGAGAAGGUGAAAGCGGAAAGUGUUAAUGUGUUGCCCAAAGCUAAUGUUGAGGUUGCAAUUUUAGACGACUACAAGGUCGCAUUGACCUUAAACGAUGGUCAAAAGCAGAUUUAAACCGAGUCGUCGCUGCUGUCGGUUGGGACGCAAACACGGAUUUGGCUGUCGCUUUUGGUUUGGAAAUAAAUUCCAAUUUUGGUGGUUAUUGAGUCAAUACCGAGCUUGAAGCACGAUCGAACGUCUGGUUGGGUCGUGCUGUUGCCGUUUGUCGUAUCGUUGAAGGUUGGGUCGAUCACUGGUGUACCCAUGUCUCCUGGUUAUGGUGGAUACCAAAGCACCACGCCGUCGCCUUGGUGACCGGGCCACAAUUACUACACCACCAAGGCUCCAGAGUAUUACACCGCAGCUAAUGCUGCCCCAAGCUAAAUCACCAAAGAUCUUGAGUACUGCACCGAGGCUCCCAAGUACUACACUACCAAGUCAGUACUACACGUAUGUUGCCCCAGCUUAUACACCGAGGCUCCCAAGUAUUACUCAGUUCCUAGCUACUACACCGAGGCUUCAACUUAUUACACCACCAAAGCGGCUGAAUAUUACACCGAGCCGCCCGAGUACUACACCAACAAGGCUCCAGAGUAUUACACCACAACUUGUGCUUCCCCGAGCCGCUACACCGAAGCCCCGAAGUAUUACUCUGCCCAAUGCUACACAACUACAAUUGAGGCGUCCAAAUAUUACGCAGCCCCGACUUACUACACAGCGGCUGCUCCUUCGUACUACGUUGAAUCGGAAUACUACACCUAGGCUUCAGUUUACUACACCACAACCUACGCUACACCUAGCUACUACACCGAGGCCCCUAUGUACACCACGUUUUCUUAUUUUGGUUGGGUUUUUCCUAUUUCGCAUGUUGGAGGUGACUAUUGCUCUAGUCGCUCCGCAUUCCGACAUAUUCUAGUGUUUGGACAAAUUUCAUUUACAGGGCAAGUUGCGAAAGAAACGUACUGUGUGGUGUUUACUAAAAUUUUUUGAUGUUGACAGCUCUCUUUUUAACUUAAGUUGGCGUAACAAGAGUUGCAAAUAGUGUGUGGUUUAUCAUAGAAGUUUUAUUUGAAAAAUCUGAAGUUGAUCAGUCGCUUGCCUAUAACUUAUGUAAAACUUCAAAGUUGUAAAAAAUAUACAAGUCGUGUACUAAACAUUUUCUUAUUA